UGAAGACACUUAUUGUCAAUCAGUUUGAUCGUGUAAGGUUCCCAUUAGGAUAAUUGCAGAGGAUCAGAAAAACGAAAAGGAGUCCAUAACCGCAGCAUGUGAAUGAACGAGUAGAUCAAAAAGCGCGAAACGCGAAUUCACGUAUAGCCGCGCGAGAUAGCUGGUGGAUGAUAAUCCAGACGACCGGAGUUCGAACCCACAUAGGAGCAGUUUUCACCAAACAUCAUUCUGUGGCAUUUUAAACAUAUUCCACUCCCAACACAAGUCAAUCAAACAAUUAUUAUUUCUACGAACAUAAAUACUCAUAUGUAAAAAUGGCGAUUCGUGAGGUUGUAAUAAACGUUUCACGAAAAUA